GAAAAAGGAUGAAACAAAUGAGAAGAUUUAGAUUUUAGUACAACGGCAUGAUCCAAAUUCGAUAUGUAUAAGAGGGAGAACCUUGUGUGUCGUUGAAAUACCCUUCUUGAUUGUAUAAAGAAUCUAACUAAUUAAUCUUAGCCGAUUUGAAUUUCUGACCACAUAUGAGUACUUGUGAUGUUAUUUUUCUCUAAGUCUGUGUGUGUGAGUUGCUUCGCAUUUCAAAUGUUUUCUAUAUGCAAGCUAAAUUGCUUGAGGACAA
rnacentral:lncRNA from 1 species